rnacentral:misc_RNA from 1 species
AAGUCGUAACAAGGUUUCCGUAGGUGAACCUGCGGAAGGAUCAUUACUGAGUAAACGGGUUCUAUUUUAGGCCCAUACUCCCACCCUUUGUGUAUUCAAAUCUUAUUUUACUUGUUGCUUUGGCGGGUUUAAAUCUUUCCAACUAAACAUCCCUCGGGGUAUUUAGGCGGUUGGAGGCCGCCCGCCAAAGUAUACAACCAUCAAAACUCGUUAUAACCGCGUAUUGUCUGAGAAAACAAACAAAAAUUAAAACUUUCAACAACGGAUCUCUUGGUUCUG